rnacentral:rRNA from 1 species
GAUGAACGCUGGCGGCGUGCCUAAUACAUGCAAGUAGAACGCUGAAGGAAGGAGCUUGCUCUUUCCGGAUGAGUUGCGAACGGGUGAGUAACGCGUAGGUAACCUGCCUGGUAGCGGGGGAUAACUAUUGGAAACGAUAGCUAAUACCGCAUAACAGUAGAUGUUGCAUGAUAUUUACUUAAAAGGUGCAAUUGCACCACUACCUGAUGGACCUGCGUUGUAUUAGCUAGGUGGUGAGGUAACCGCUCAACAAGGCGGCGAUACAGAGCCGACCUGAGAGGGUGGACGGGCACACUGGGACUGGGACACGGCCCAGACUCCUACAGGGAGGAGCAGUAGGGAAUCUUCGGGAAUGGACGGAAGUCUGACCGAGCAACGGCGCGUGAGUGAAGAAGGUGUUCGGAUCGGAAAGCUCUGUUGUAAGGGAAGAAAGAGUGGGAGAGGGGAAAGUGCACACUGUGACGGUAUCUUACCAGAAAGGGACGGCUAACUACGUG